UGGAGGGAUAAUAAAAGAGAGUAUUUAUAUAUGUGCAUACUAUGACCGAGUGAAGAUCAAGGAGUCAAAUUCCAUUGAUCCUAAAAAGUUUAAAAUCGAGGAUGUGCUUUCUGGUAUCUUGAUGAGAGUGGAAGGGACAGACAAGAUAGUUUGAGAACUAAAAGGGUCUUUUAUCAAAUCAACCAAAUGAUUAUAUCACACUCGGC
rnacentral:lncRNA from 1 species